ensembl:snRNA U6 U6 spliceosomal RNA
AUGCUAGCUUUGGCAGCAUAUAUACUAAAUUUGGAAUGAUACAGAGAAGAUUAGCAUGGUUCCUGUGUAAGGAUGACACUCAAGUUUGUGAAACAUUCCAUAUUUUU